rnacentral:rRNA from 1 species
GACGAACGCUGGCGGCGUGCCUAAUACAUGCAAGUCGAGCGAGUCUGCCUUGAAGAUCGGAGUGCUUGCACUCUGUGAAACAAGAUACAGGCUAGCGGCGGACGGGUGAGUAACACGUGGGUAACCUGCCCAAGAGAUCGGGAUAACACCUGGAAACAGGUGCUAAUACCGGAUAACAACAGAUGAUGCCUAUCAACUGUUUAAAAGAUGGUUCUGCUAUCACUCUUGGAUGGACCUGCGGUGCAUUAGCUAGUUGGUAGGGUAACGGCCUACCAAGGCGAUGAUGCAUAGCCGAGUUGAGAGACUGAUCGGCCACAUUGGGACUGAGACACGGCCCAAACUCCUACGGGAGGCAGCAGUAGGGAAUCUUCCACAAUGGACGCAAGUCUGAUGGAGCAACGCCGCGUGAGUGAAGAAGGGUUUCGGCUCGUAAAGCUCUGUUGUUGGUGAAGAAGGACAGGGGUAGUAACUGACCUUUGUUUGACGGUAAUCAAUUAGAAAGUCACGGCUAACUACGUG